GAUGAAGAACGCAGCGAAAUGCGAUAAGUAAUGUGAAUUGCAGAAUUCAGUGAAUCAUUGAAUCUUUGAACGCACAUUGCGCCCGCCAGUAUUCUGGCGGGCAUGCCUGUUCGAGCGUCAUUUCAACCAUCAAGCCCCCGGCUUGUGUUGGGGACCUGCGGCUGCCGCAGGCCCUGAAAACCAGUGGCGGGCUCGCUAGUCACUCCGAGCGUAGUAAUACAUCUCGCUCAGGGCGUGCUGCGGGUUCCGGCCGUUAAAAAGCCUUAUUUACCCAAGGUUGACCUCGGAUCAGGUAGGAAGACCCGCUGAACUUAAGCAUAUCAAUAAGCGGAGGA
rnacentral:misc_RNA from 1 species